rnacentral:rRNA from 1 species
AUUGAACGCUGGCGGCAGGCCUAACACAUGCAAGUCGAGCGGAUGAAGGGAGCUUGCUCCUGGAUUCAGCGGCGGACGGGUGAGUAAUGCCUAGGAAUCUGCCUGGUAUUGGGGGAUAACGUCCGGAAACGGGCGCUAAUACCGCAUACGUCCUGAUGGUGAAAGUGGGGGAUCUUCGGACCUCACGCUAUCAGAUGAGCCUAGGCCGGAUUAGCUAGUUGGUUGGGUAAAGGCCUACCAAGGCGACGAUCCGUAACUGGUCUGAGAGGAUGAUCAGUCACACUGGAACUGAGACACGGUCCAGACUCCUACGGGAGGCAGCAGUGGGGAAUAUUGGACAAUGGGCGAAAGCCUGAUCCAGCCAUGCCGCGUGUGUGAAGAAGGUCUUCGGAUUGUAAAGCACUUUAAGUUGGGAGGAAGGGCAGUAAGUUAAUACCUUGCUGUUUUGACGGUACCAACAGAAUAAGCACCGGCUAACUUCGUG